GACGAACGCUGGCGGCGUGCUUAACACAUGCAAGUCGAACGGAAAGGCCCUGCUUUUGUGGGGUGCUCGAGUGGCGAACGGGUGAGUAACACGUGAGUAACCUGCCCUUGACUUUGGGAUAACUUCAGGAAACUGGGGCUAAUACCGGAUAGGAGCUCCUGCUGCAUGGUGGGGGUUGGAAAGUUUCGGCGGUUGGGGAUGGACUCGCGGCUUAUCAGCUUGUUGGUGGGGUAGUGGCUUACCAAGGCUUUGACGGGUAGCCGGCCUGAGAGGGUGACCGGCCACAUUGGGACUGAGAUACGGCCCAGACUCCUACGGGAGGCAGCAGGGGGGAAUAUUGGACAAUGGGCGGAAGCCUGAUGCAGCAACGCCGCGUGCGGGAUGACGGCCUUCGGGUUGUAAACCGCUUUCGCCUGUGACGAAGCGUGAGUGACGGUAAUGGGUAAAGAAGCACCGGCUAACUACGUG
rnacentral:rRNA from 1 species